rnacentral:snRNA from 1 species
GUGCUCACUUCAGCAGCACAUAUACUAAAAAAUUGGAACGAUACAGAGAAGAUCAGCAUGGCCCCUGUGCAAGGAUGACACGCAAAUUUGUGAAAAAAUAUAUAUUUUA